rnacentral:lncRNA from 1 species
UCAAGAUGUCUGCAAAUGACUUGACUCCUGAGAAUGCUGAAAAGGAUAGUUACAAACAAGACUUAACUGCUCACUGUUGAUUUACGAUCGACUUGAAUUGCUUCGUGCAAUUUGGAUAAAAUGAUCAUUCAGCGAUUGGUAUCAUUUUGAAAGUCACCACCAACCUGUCCUUUAAACGCUAAAAGUGACCGAUGCAGGGGUUUUACAAGAUAGAUGUGUGAAGGUACAGUAAUACAAGGAUCUGUCAGAAUUCCGCGGCUCCUGCGCCCCACGCACAACGCCUGUGGGGUGAGCUGUCACAAAGACUGUCGCAGCCGCCUUGCUGUUGAGUGCUGCAAACCAACAAAGAGUGCCAGUCACGAUCCUUCAGUGUGCCUGAUAUGGUUUAGCCCCUACACAUUCUACAUCACAGAGCCAUUGCAGAGGAAGCACCUGACUCUCUGGAGGAUGAAGUGUUUGAUGUCCACCUUUGAGAACAGUCUCACUUCGUCGGGCGUGGACUCCACAGGGAUGCUGGCCCAUGUUGACUCCAAUGCUUCCCACACUUUUGUGAAGUUUACUGGAUGUCGUUUGGGUGGCGGACCAUUCUACACAUAGGAAACUGUUGAAUGUGAAAAACCCAGCAGCGUUGCAGUUCUUGAUACACUGAAACCAGUGCGCCAGGCACCUACUCCCUUACCCCGUUCAAAGGCAUUUAAAUAUUUUGUUUUGCCCAUUCACCCUCUGAAUUGCACAUAUACACAAUACUUGUCUCAAAGCUUAUAAAUCCUUAUUUAACCUGUCUCCUCCCCUUAAUCUACACUGAUUGAAGUGAAUUUAACAGGUGACAUCAAUAAGGGAUCAUAGCUUUCACCUGGUCAGUCUGUCAUGGAAAGAACC